rnacentral:rRNA from 1 species
UGAGUAACGCGUGAGUAACCUGCCUUCAAGAGGGGGGAUAACAUUCUGAAAAGAAUGCUAAUACCGCAUGACAUAUCGGAACCACAUGGUUUUGAUAUCAAAGAUUUUAUCGCUUGAAGAUGGACUCGCGUCCGAUUAGUUAGUUGGUGAGGUAACGGCUCACCAAGACCGCGAUCGGUAGCCGGACUGAGAGGUUGAACGGCCACAUUGGGACUGAGACACGGCCCAGACUCCUACGGGAGGCAGCAUG